CGAUUCGUUUUAGUACGCAUUUGCUUUUAAACGCAAACGGACGUAUCGUCAAAGUAUUUGUGAACCGGCAUUAAAAUUAACAUAUUUGCAAUCAUUUACGCGUUCAAUAAACAGUGAAGACGUCCAGAAAUUCUCUAAUUGGACAGUAUUAAACAAGUAGUGUAUUUUCCUACGUCUAUUAUUUAGUAAGUGCAAGUAUUGUAAUUGUGAUACGUAACGUUAAGAAUGCCAGUCGUAACGUCCAAUUAGUGAAGUGAAAUGGAUUAAUAUUUGUUAGUACAACAACUGCUGUAUAAUGUCGAAGACUUUGAAUGCCUAUAGAAUAAAGAAGAUCGAAUCCUUAGGCAGGAUGACGGCGAUGACGCAGGAGGAGAUGGUGGCCGGCGCGAGGACGGUCGCGGCCGGUUUGGAAGCGCUGCGGGCUGAGCAUACGCAGCUUCUCGCUGGCCUUGCAGCCAACACCGACCAUGAGCACGAGAAGGCGUCCCUGGUCAGGAAGAGUAUAGAUGCCAUCGAACUGGGAUUGGGCGAAGCACAGGUGAUGAUGACCCUAGCAUCCCACCUUCAGCUGGUCGAGGCAGAAAAGCAGAAACUCCGCACUCAAGUCCGCAGACUGUGCCAGGAAAACGCUUGGCUCCGGGACGAGCUGGCUGCAGCUCAGCAGCGACUCCAGGCGUCUGAACAGCGAGUCGCCCAGCUCGAAGAGGAGAAUAAACACCUUGACUUUAUGGCCUCUAUACGCAAAUAUGACAGUGACGUGACUGAAGAGUCGGAGAACAAUCGCGGCGGACAGAGUGAGAACAAGCGCGACGAUCCAAUGGUGGACUUGUUCCCAGACGAUGACCACGAGGACAACAGGACAAACAAAUCGAUGUCACCAACACCACAAUCGCAGUUUGCCCAACAAGUCAACGCUGGGUACGAGAUCCCGGCACGCCUUCGUACACUCCACAACCUGGUGAUCCAGUACGCGUCCCAGGGUCGGUACGAGGUCGCCGUACCAUUGUGCAAACAGGCUCUCGAAGAUCUGGAGAAAACAUCCGGCCAUGACCACCCAGAUGUUGCCACUAUGUUGAAUAUUCUCGCACUGGUUUACAGGGAUCAAAAUAAAUACAAGGAGGCAGCGAAUCUCCUGAAUGACGCGCUGUCGAUCCGCGAAAAGACACUCGGUGAAAACCACCCGGCGGUCGCAGCCACACUCAACAACCUCGCCGUACUGUAUGGAAAGCGAGGAAAAUACCGCGAGGCGGAGCCACUAUGCAAGCGUGCGCUGUGCAUCCGCGAGGCGGUACUGGGCCGUGACCAUCCAGACGUCGCCAAGCAGCUCAACAACCUAGCGCUGCUCUGUCAGAACCAGAACAAAUAUGAAGAGGUGGAGCAAUAUUAUCAACGUGCACUGGAAAUAUACGAAACCAAACUCGGCCCAGAUGAUCCCAAUGUUGCUAAAACGAAGAACAAUCUCGCAUCUUGCUAUCUCAAACAGGGCAAGUACAAAGAAGCUGAAACACUAUACAAGCAGGUCUUAACGCGAGCACACGAGAGGGAAUUUGGUACCAUCGACGGCGACAAUAAACCGAUAUGGCAAGUGGCUGAAGAAAGGGAGGAGAACAAACAUCUUCAGAAGGAGAACGCGCCGUAUGGUGAAUACGGCGGUUGGCAUAAGGCUGCCAAGGUGGAUUCACCGACCGUCACCACGACACUGAAGAACCUCGGCGCCCUCUACCGGCGUCAGGGCAAGUACGAAGCUGCCGAGACUUUGGAAGACUGCGCCUUGCGUAGCCGAAAGGAGCACGUUCAGCAAGCGUUGGACAUCGUGAAGCAAUCCCGAGCGAGAAGCGGGCGUCAGGGCGGCCGCGAAGGACGCGAGGGGGACCCGCAGCUCGACGCUGCUGAGCUCACAUUGAGUAACUAGUUGAAACAAAAUGGAGUGUAAAUUGCAUAACACGGGCGCGGCAGGACUCGGCCGAGGUGUCGCGCAGCGCCAGUUUCUCGAAACUGCGAGAAUCGUUGAGGCGGUCUUCGGCACGACUAUUCAAUCGGAUCGCGGGCCGCCACUCGGCUAACCUGCCCCCUGAUGUAGACUACACUGACCCCGAAAGCAUGAAACGCGCAAGUUCCCUGACCGCGCUCAAUAAGCUACGCCCAACAAGCCCCAAGCACCAAGUACUACAACAACGGUAGCCAACAAAGACAGCACGAAUACUCAAGUAUACAACGUUCACUUUCGUCCGUAUAUUGGCACUGCAAUCGUGAUAGCGGUCGCGACACUAACACAUCUACCUAACAACCUACCAAUUCUAAAGGUGUUCUAGAUUUUAGAAUAUCCAAUUCUUUUGCUUCGCUGACGAACUGAAAUUAUUUUAAUAUACCAUAUUAUCAUAUCGAAGAUUUAACUAGUCUAUUCCAUGUUUUUUUUAUUGAAUGAUAAUGAAAUGGUGACCCUGUUUGCGCUAUUAGUUGGUUGGUUGAAAUAUCAGUGAGGGCUGAUAGAUAAGGAUGACAUCAGAUCAGUUAUCCCAUCGUGAUUAAUUUACUAGGAAUUGGUCACUUUUUCACGAAGAUCUCAUGGGGUAGAUGUAUUACUUAUUAAUAGAAUUGCUCGUUCUUUUUAUUAUGUUAACAAUCUUCUUUCAGUUUUCAGUUCGUCAGCGAGAGCCACAUUGUUUUAUUGGAAAAAGAAAAAAAUGUUUUUAGUAAAAAAUAAGUUUAAACUAUGGCACUAAAAUAAGACUAAGAGCUGAAACAGUUUCAACCACAGAGAUGGAGUUAAAUAGAUACGGCAAUAUUUUUUAAACUCUGCUUAAAAGUUUUGUGAUCCAAAAUGACAUCGAUAAAUCUACAGAUAAUCCAAUUAAGUUUAAUCAACAUUUGCAAUACAAGCUAUUUAAGUAAACUGUUCGUAGUAGAGCCGUUUCUUCGAUAGGUAUUUCAUAUGCCAAACAUUCCAUAAGCGGAAAGUUGCUUGCUAAAAUACUGACAUACGUAUUGUUCUCUCGGUAAUAGAAUUCAUUGAUGAAUUAUUUGUAAGAGGAUCGUUUCAGACCCGAAAAAAUUUAAGAAGCAUGACUGUUGAGUUGUGUUUACGCAGUAUACCUAUAAUAAUAGUUUUUAUAACAUUGUAGUACCUAUCAUACUAUCCCUACCAUACCAUAAACAUAUAAAACGUCUAGUUUUAUAAUUAUCGGCUUUUGUACUUUGAUUUCUUGCAGACUAAGGAAUUGCGGUAUUUAUCUUCAUCUAUAUCUGUGGUUGACAUAUAUCUACUUGUCUAUAUGCAAUAUUUUUAAUAUCUUGCUCCACAUUUAAUUCAGUACCUAAUAAUAUAUUAGUCCAGCUGCUUAGCCCAAACACUUUCGAACCCUCUUCGUUUAGGUAGAUAUAGUUAAGUAUUUUUUAAUUUAAUAUUAGCUAGUUAAAAUUGAUCUCAUUUACAAAAUCUCGUUUAUUCUUUAGAAGAGGGCAUAAAUAGACUCAGAUUCUUUGUGUUAUACCGAAUAAAAACAUUCCAACUUUUCCCAAACUGUAUGCCUAUUAUUUGGUGACAUCAUAAAAAUAAAAUCACGCUUUUGGCUUGUUCAAAUAAAUUGACGUAAGUUUAUAGCAGUUAUCGUAGUUUGUAGGAUUUACAGACAGAAAAAAUAGUAAAUAAGUAUCUAGGUAAUCAUUUAAAGAAAUUCUUCAUUAUUUGAGAAUUAUGGAGCUAGAAAAAAUAUGCUAUGCUGUGUGGUCUUUUAUUAGGUACUUAUAUAUUUUAUUACAGUAUGAAUAGUCUGAGAUAAAAUCAAAAUUUAUUUGUACUUUACAGUACAAAUAAAUACAAUGAUUUCAAUUUCAUCUUUUACAUAAUGAAAUUGAAAUGAUUGGAAAAGAAUAAUUAAUUGAAACGCAUCAAAAAAAAAAAAAAAAAAAACUAAUAAAAAGCGUGCUGUUGUAAGGACACCGUGGACGACUCUUCAUCGAUUUUGGACACACGUUGCUUUAGAAAUAAUAUUUAAUUUCGUUCGUAGAACACUUUCUUAGAAGGAUGCUUAUGAUUUUGAUUUUAGCUUUACAAAAACAUUACAUGGUGUUAUUGCAUACAUUUAAAAUAAUAUUAGGUAAAAUAAUUUUCGAAUAUGAAUUGACUGUUGCAUUGAUUUUUACAAAAAAAAAAAAAUAGGAAGAAUCAUUUAUUACCAUAUAGGUGCAUUAUUGAUUGAUACCUACCAGCACACACACAGCUAGAUAAGACUAUUUCGUACUGUAUGCUUUGCUAUGUAAAACAAUAAAAUGUAUUUAUUUAGGUAUUUUACGGCUUUUAUACAUAUUAUUAAUUAAUUGGAGGAAUUGGAAGGUAAAUAAUGAUUGUAAUUUUUAAAGUUUCUACUAAUUACAUUAAUCUUCUAUUUGACCAUAUUAAAAUUGGAUAUUAAAUACCUACUAAAUCAAUCAAACGGAAAGAGAAGGUUAAUGAAAUUAUGUCAGUGGAAAAAAAUCCACGGGAUUUUAUAUUAACUUUGAUUGUCACAUUUUCUAUUUAAAAUAUGUUUUUAUUUUAGUGGUUGCAUUUUGUUAUUUAUUUUGAAUAAAAUAUUCAAAAUUGCA